AGUGAACGCUGGCGGCAGGCCUAAUACAUGCAAGUCGAACGGCAGCACAGCAGAGCUUGCUCUGUGGGUGGCGAGUGGCGGACGGGUGAGGAAUACGUGGGAAUCUGCCCAGUCGUGGGGGAUAACGUAGGGAAACUUACGCUAAUACCGCAUGCGCCCUUCGGGGGAAAGCCGGGGACCUUCGGGCCUGGCGCGAUUGGAUGAGCCCACGUCGGAUUAGCUAGUUGGCGGGGUAAAGGCCCACCAAGGCGACGAUCCGUAGCUGGUCUGAGAGGAUGAUCAGCCACACUGGAACUGAGACACGGUCCAGACUCCUACGGGAGGCAGCAGUAGGGAAUAUUGGACAAUGGGCGCAAGCCUGAUCCAGCCAUGCCGCGUGAGUGAAGAAGGCCCUCGGGUUGUAAAGCUCUUUUGUCCGGAAAGAAAAGCGCCGGGUUAAUACCCUGGUGUCCUGACGGUACCGGAAGAAUAAGCACCGGCUAACUUCGUGCCAGCAGCCGCGGUAAAG
rnacentral:rRNA from 1 species